GUCCACGCCGUAAACGGUGGGCGCUAGGUGUGGGGGACUUUCCACGUCCUCUGUGCCGCAGCUAACGCAUUAAGCGCCCCGCCUGGGGAGUACGGCCUCAAGGCUAAAACUCAAAGGAAUUGACGGGGGCCCGCACAAGCGGCGGAGCAUGUGGCUUAAUUCGACGCAACGCGAAGAACCUUACCAAGGCUUGACAUGCAGGGAAAUCUCACAGAGAUGUGAGGUCCGCAAGGGUCCUGCACAGGUGGUGCAUGGUUGUCGU
rnacentral:rRNA from 1 species